rnacentral:rRNA from 1 species
UGGGGAAUCUUGCACAAUGGGGGAAACCCUGAUGCAGCGACGCCGCGUGAGCGAUGAAGCCCUUCGGGGCGUAAAGCUCUUUCGGCAGGGAAGAUAAUGACGGUACCUGCAGAAGCAGCUGCGGCUAACUACGUGCCAGCAGCCGCGGUAAUACGUAGGCAGCAAGCGUUGUUCGGAGUUACUGGGCGUAAAGGGCGCGUAGGCGGCCGUUCAAGUUUGGCGUGAAAUCUCCCGGCUCAACCGGGAGGGUGCGCCGAAUACUGAGUGGCUAGAGUGCGGGAGAGGAAAGUGGAAUUCCUGGUGUAGCGGUGAAAUGCGUAGAUAUCAGGAGGAACACCGGUGGUGUAGACGGCUUUCUGGACCGUGACUGACGCUGAGGCGCGAAAGCGUGGGUAGCAAACAGG